CCUACGGGUGGCAGCAGUGGGGGAUAUUGCACAAUGGGGGAAACCCUGAUGCAGCGACGCCGCGUGGGUGAAGAAGCGCCUCGGCGCGUAAAGCCCUGUCAGCAGGGAAGAAAAUGACGGUACCUGAAGAAGAAGCCCCGGCUAACUACGUGCCAGCAGCCGCGGUAAUACGUAGGGGGCAAGCGUGAUCCGGAGUUACGGGGUGUAAAGGGGGCGCAGACGGCGACGCAAGCCAGGAGGGAAAGCCCGGGGCCCAACCCCGGGACUGCUCUUGGAACUGCGUGGCUAGAGUGCAGGAGGGGCAGGCGGAAUUCCUGGUGUAGCGGUGAAAUGCGUAGAUAUCAGGAGGAACACCGGUGGCGAAGGCGGCCUGCUGGACUGCAACUGACGUUGAGGCCCGAAAGCGUGGGGAGCAAACAGGAUUAGAUACCCGGGUAGUC
rnacentral:rRNA from 1 species